GUAAUUCGAUACAGAGCGAUCUGGAAUCCAGGACAGGCCUGAUGAGUUUGAGGCAGCAUAGUUUGGACAACUGUACUGUGGAUAUCUACUGAUCUAUGGAAAGCAGCAGAGAAAUGGGAGUUAACCAACUCAAGAUCCUUUUGUUUGUCGUCUUCAAUGCUGAGACCUAGAGAAAUGAAAUAGAGCUGCAGUAGGCUCCCUCCUACUUCUCUGUCAAGUGCUCCAUGAUCAAAACCUGUUCCAAGGAACACAAAGAUGACAUGUAUGGUCCUCACAGUAGUAUCACACCUGGAAGGUGACAAAUGAUUUCAUGCAAAAUAUCACACUGCAUCAUUCAAUCAUACUGUGAAAUCUGAGCAUGGUGGCACAUGCUGAUAAUCCUGGUGCUUAGGAGGCCAUGAGGUUGAGGUCAGGCUGUGUACAUAGUAAAAGUGGGUUCAAUGCCGGUUCAGCCUAAACUACAUAGAAGAUCCUGUCUCAAGAAACAAAACCACAAAACCAUUCCAUGAGAUACUCAAUGGAAGUAUUAUGUCCGUUUUACACAUAAACAGCAUAGAGGUUGAGGAGGUCAAAUGAUUUGCUCCAAAGUAGCCCUGUAGUAUUUACAUGUUUUGAAACUCAAUCUAGUAUGUGCCCCCACUGAAAUUCAGACCCCUGGUGAGAGAAAGUAAAGAAAACAUUUACAGGAGUAUGGAUUUUUUUUUUCUUUUUCAGCAAAACUCCAAAUAGAUCAUUUGGCCAAAAUUAACAGUGGUGAUCAUUUUACAAAAGUAUUAUAAAAAUAAUCCAUUGGCCAAUUGAGCCUUUAUGUGUUUAUUUUUUAAGUUAGACAUUAUCACUUGUUUUAGGUCAUUGCAUUUUUGAGAGCAAGUCAAUACAUUGCAGGCAGGGUUUUUGCAUUGGCUCUGACAUGUUGCAAUCAUUUUUGUCUGGGAAAACAAACAAAAGUAAAUUGGCAGCAUGGUUGUUAUAUGAGCUGCUGGCAGAGGCCCAGCCCCCAGGACAUUGGCUCACCUGCCAACAAUACCUCCCUUUCAAGCAAUGCCAGCUGUUUUUAUAAGAAGUUUUCUGGAAGGAAGCUUUUGUGUUUUGCUCUAGUCAGCAGGAUCUAACUUUACUAACAGUCACGUAGAGAAUUGCAGCAGUUGAAUCAACUUGAUUCAUUCUUCUUCUGACACUGUAAAACAGCCAAGGGCAGACUGUAAAGUCUCACUCCUUGUGAAAGGUCCCUAGAAUAAAAGCCACUUGAUAAGAACUCAAAAGAAGAAAUAAAAACAGAAAGAUAUAGCACAAUUAAAAGGAAAGUGAG